GACGAACGCUGGUGGCGUGCCUAAUACAUGCAAGUCGAGCGGACCAAUAGAAGCUUGCUUCUGUUGGUUAGCGGCGGACGGGUGAGUAACACGUGGGCAACCUGCCUGUAAGACUGGGAUAACUUCGGGAAACCGGAGCUAAUACCGGAUAAUUCAUCCCCUCGCAUGAGGGGAUGCUGAAAGUCGGUUUACGCUGACACUUACAGAUGGGCCCGCGGCGCAUUAGCUAGUUGGUGAGGUAAUGGCUGACCAAGGCGACGAGGCGUAGCCGACCUGAGAGGGUGAUCGGCCACACUGGGACUGAGACACGGCCCAGACUCCUACGGGAGGCAGCAGUAGGGAAUCUUCCACAAUGGACGAAAGUCUGAUGGAGCAACGCCGCGUGAGCGAUGAAGGCCUUCGGGUCGUAAAGCUCUGUUGUUAGGGAAGAACAAGUAUCGGAGUAACUGCCGGUACCUUGACGGUACCUAACCAGAAAGCCACGGCUAACUACGUGCCAGCCGCCGCGGUAA
rnacentral:rRNA from 1 species